rnacentral:misc_RNA from 1 species
AAGAACACAACCUCCAAAAGUCAUCUACAAUUGAAAAGGAAAACUAGAUGGACAAGUUCAAGCAUAGGAAAAACACUACAAACUUCUUUUUUUCAUCCAUAAAAUCCAAGCAACAUAUAAUUUGGAACAGAAGCAUCACAAACCCAUAGGUUAGCCGUAGCAUGAUAUCUCCCCUCAAAAACAAAAACCAUACCUUGUUAUCUGAUUGUAUGACAAUUCUUUUUCUCCCCUACAUUCUAAAUAUCCUCACUAAAAGCCAUGGCAGGGAAAUUUUGUGACAAAUACAGAAUAGAUCUAUAUAUGCAUAUUUUAGACAUGCCACAAUCACAAGAAAAUGUUCCCUGAAAAUUAUCCCAAGAAAGGGAAAUAAUUUGGAGAUAAAUACUAGAUAGGAUCAGGUCUUACAAUAAUAUUUGUUAAUGUUAAUGUUAAAGGGGGAAGUUAGUUCACGAUGAAACUUAAUAUUAACCAGCCCAAACAUAACGCCCACAUUUAUCCAAAAACACAAACUCUAUAUACAUGCCAGGGGACUAGCAACUAACUAGCUACAGCUGGAUAGUAAAAAAUGUUAAAAAUCAGCGUUGGGAAAAAUCAUAAUCUUUCCAAUAAAUUCGACUACUGAAAAACGAAAAUUAUGUUACUACAGUAGUACCUGUGUCG